GACGAGGGAUCCUAGCGUUGGUUCGGAAUUAUUGGGCGUAAAGCGGGUGUAGGCGGGCUUCUAAGUCAGGUGUGAAAUCCCAGGGCUCAACCCUGGAAGUGCACGUUCGAUACUGGAAGUCUUGAAUGUGGUAGAGGCUAUUAGAAUUCUUGGUGUAGUGGUGAAAUACGUAGAUAUCAAGAGGAAUACCGGAGGCGAAGGCGGAUAGCUGGGCCAACAUUGACGCUGAGACCCGAAAGCGUGGGGAUCAAACAGG
rnacentral:rRNA from 1 species